AUGUCGACUGAACUAUUCACAAUGACUGAGCAUCUGUCCAUCACAGAUCAGCUCCUCCUUCUCUACGUUUACGACCUACAUCUGAAAAACAUUGAACAGCAUUUGCAGGCUGCGCAGGAAGUACUUCACUGGAAGUUUUCACCUCGGGAGAUAAAGGAAGACAUUGUGAGGAACCAAAGGACUGGUCCAGCCCUGCAAAAGGAGAACCACAGCCUAAAUCCAGAAGAGGCCCUCCAGAAAGAGCCCGCUGAAGAGGAAGUACUGAAAAUUUCAGUGGAAGAAGCAGCAGCAGUGGCGUCAGUGCUGGAGAUUGUGCAAGUCUCACAUCCAGAACAGACCUCUGAAGAAGCCGUCAUCACCAGUGCGAUGGAAAACAGGUCCAGGAGAAAAAGAAAGUAUGUACUGUUGUGCAUGUAUUGCACUUCCUACUUGAUGUACACUAUAUGA
ensembl:lncRNA